rnacentral:tRNA from 1 species
CUGGGGGUAGCUUAAUUUAUUUAAAGCUUUGGUUUCUUAUUCCUAGGAUGUUUUUGGACCCCCCAGA